rnacentral:rRNA from 1 species
AUUGAACGCUGGCGGCAGGCCUAACACAUGCAAGUCGAGCGGAUGAAGGGAGCUUGCUCCUGGAUUCAGCGGCGGACGGGUGAGUAAUGCCUAGGAAUCUUCCUCGUAGUGGGGGAUAACGUCCGGAAACGGGCGCUAAUACCGCAUACGUCCUGAGGGAGAAAGUGGGGGAUCUUCGGACCUCACGCUAUCAGAUGAGCCUAGGUCGGAUUAGCUAGUUGGUGGGGUAAAGGCCUACCAAGGCGACGAUCCGUAACUGGUCUGAGAGGAUGAUCAGUCACACUGGAACUGAGACACGGUCCAGACUCCUACGGGAGGCAGCAGUGGGGAAUAUUGGAAGAUGGGCGAAAGACUGAUCCAGCCAUGCCGCGUGUGUGAAGAAGGUCUUCGGAUUGUAAAGCACUUUAAGUUGGGAGGAAGGGCAGUAAGUUAAUACCUUGCUGUUUUGACGGUACCAACAGAAUAAGCACCGGCUAACUUCGUG